UUUUUUGGUUCCAUAUGAAUUUUAAAAUAGUUUCUUCUAAUUCUGUGAAGAAUGUCAGCGAUGGGAAUAGCCUUGAAUCUAUAAAUUAUUUUGGGCAGUAUGCCCAUUUUCACCAUAUUGAUUCUUCCUAUCCAUGAGGAUAGAAACAAACACGAUCCAUUUGUUUGUGUCCUCUCUUAUCUCCUUGAGCUUUGGUUUGUAGUUCUCCUUGAAGAGGUCCUUCACAUCUUUUGUUAGCUGUGUUCCUAGGUAUUUUAUUUUCUUUGUAGCAAUUGUGAUUGGGAGUUCAUUCUUGAUUUGACUCUCUGCUUGUCUAUCGUUGGUGUAUAGAAAUCCUUGUGAUUUUUGCACAUUGACUUUGUAUCCUGAGACUUUGCUGAAGUUGCUUAUCAGCUUAGGGAGUUCUUAGGCUGAGAUGAUGGGGUUUUCUAAAUAUAGGAUCAUGUCAUCUGCAAACAGAGACAAUUUCACUUCCUCUCUUCCUGUUCGAAUACCUUUAUUUCUUUCACUUGCUGAGUGCCCUGGCCAGAACCACUAAUUCGAUAUUGAAUAGGAAUGAUGAGAGAGGACAUCCUUGUCUUGUGCUAGUUUUCAAAGGGAAUGCUUCCAGCUUUUGUCCAUUCAGUAUGAUAUUGGCUGUGGGUUUGUCAUAAAUAGUUCUUAUUGUUUUGAGAUAUGUUCCACCAGUAUCUAGUUGAUUGACAGUUUUUAACAUGAAGGAAUGUUAAAUUUUAUCGAAGGCUUUUUCUGCAUCUAUUGAGAUAAUCAUGUGGUUUUUGUCAAUGGUUGUUUAUGUGAUGGAAUAUAUUUAUUGACUUGCAUAUGUUGAACCAGGCUUGUAUCCCAGGGGUGACACUGACUUGAUCAUGGUGGGUAAGUGUUUGAUGUGCUGGUGGAUUUGGUUUGCUAGCAUUUUAUUGAGGAUUUUCACAUUGAAGUUCAUCAGAGAUAUUGGCCAGAAGUUUUGUUUUUUGUGUGUGUGUCUGCCAGAUUUUGGUAUCAGAGUAACGCUGGCCUCAUAAAAUGAGUUAGGGAGGAGUUCGUUCUUCUCAAUUGUUUGGAAUAGUUUCUGAAGGAAUGGUACCAUCUCUGCUGUGUACCUCUCAUAGAAUUCAGCUGUGAAUCCAUCUAUCUGGUCCUGUGCUUUUUUUGUUUGGUAGGCUAUUUCUUACAGCCUCAAUUUCAGAACUUGUUAUUGGUCUAUCCACAGAUUUUACUUCUUCCUGGUUUAGACUUGGGAGGGGGAAUGUGUCCAAACAUUUAACCGUUUCUUCUAGAUUUUCUAGUUUUUUUGCCUAGAGACCCUUAUUGUAUUCUCUGGUGGUAGUUUAUAUUUCUGUGGGGUCAGUGGUGAUAUCCCUGUUAUUAUUCUUUAUUGUGUCUAUUUGAUUCUUCUCUAUUUUCUUUUUUAUUAGUCUACCUAGCAGUCUAUCUUAUUGUGUGUUUUUUUUUUUUUUUCCAAAAAACCAGCUCCUGGAUUCAUUGAUUUUUUGAAGGGUUUUUUGUGUCCCUAUCUCCUUCAUUUUCACUCUGAUCUUAGUUAUUUCUUGUCUUCUGCGAGCUUAUGGAUUUGUUUGCUCUUGUUUCUCUAGUUCUUCUAAUUGUGAUGUUAGGGUGUUCAUUUGAGAUCUUUCUAGCUUUCUGAUGUGGGCAUUUAGUGCUAUAAAUUUCCCUUUUAACAAUGCUUUAGCUGCAUCUCAGAGAUUCUGGUAUGUUGUCUCUUUGUUCUCAUUGGUUUCAAAGAGCUUCUUAAUUUCUGCCUCAAUUUUUUCAUUAUUUACCCUGGAGUUAUUUAGGAGCAGGUUGUUUAACUUCCAUGUAGUUGUAUGGUUUUGAGUGAGCUUCUUAAUCUUGAGUUCUAAUUUGAUUGCAUUGUGGUCUGAAACUCUUUGCUAAGGUCUCAGUUCUUUUCCAUUUGCUGAGGAGUGUUUUACUUCCAAUUAUGUGGUCGAUUUUAGAGUAAGUGCCACAUGGCACGAGAAGAGUGUAUAUUCUGUUGAUUUGGGGUGGAGUGUUCUGUAGAUAACUGCUAGUCCAGUUAGUACAGAGCUGAGUUCAAGUCCUGAAUAUCUUCGUUAAUUUUCUGUCUCGUUGAUCUGUCUAAUAUUGACAAUGGGGCGUUAAAGUCUGGUAUUACUGUGUGGGAAUUGAACUCUCUUUGUUGGUCUCUAAUAACUGUUUUAUAAAUCUGGGUGCUCCUGUAUUGGCUGCAUAUAUACUUAGGGUAGUUAGCUCUUCUUGUUGAAUUGAUCCCUUUACCAUUAUGUAAUGCCCUUCUUUGUCUUUUUUUCCCCCCUAUUUGUGAUGGUCAUACUUAUUUUUUUUUUAAUUAUACUUUAAGUUCUAGGGUGUGUGUCCACAAUGUGCAGGUUUGUUACAUAGGUAUACGUGUGCCAUGUUGGUUUGCUGCACCCAUUAACUUGUCAUGUACAUUAGGUAUUUCUCCUAAUGCUUUCCCUCCCCCAGCCCCCAAGCCUAUGACCGGCCCCGGUGUGAUGUUCCCUGCCCUGUGUCCAAGUAUUCUCAUUGUUCAAUCCCCACCUAUGAGUGAGAACAUGCGGUGUUUGGUUUUCUGUCUGUGUGAUAGUUUGUUCAGAAUGAUGGUUUCCAGCUUCAUCCAUGUCCCUGCAAAGGACGUGAACUCAUCCAUUUUUAUGGCUGCAUAGUAUUCCAUGGUGUGUGUGUGCCACGUUUUCUUAAUCCAGUCUAUCAUUGAUGGACAUUUGGGUUGGUUCCAAGUCUUUGCUAUUGUGACUAGUGCCGCAAUAAACACACGUGUGCAGAUGUAUUUAUAGUAGCAUGAUUCACAACAAUUUGUGUAUAUACCCAAUAAUGGGAUCACUGGGUCAAAUGGUAUUUCUAGUUCUAGAUCCUUGAGGAAUCGCCACACUGUCUUCCACAAUGGUUGAAUUAGUUUACACUCCCACUGACAGUGUAAAAGUGUUCCUAUUUCUCCACAUCCUCUCCAGCAUCUGGUAUUUCCUGACUUUUUAAUGGCCACCAUUCUAGCUAGUAUGUGAUAGUGUCUCAUUUUGGUUUCGAUUUGCAUUUCUGUAAUGACUAGUGAUGAUAAGCAUUUUUUCAUGUGUCUGUUGGCUGCAUAGGUGUCUUCUUUUGAGAAGUGUCUGUUCAUGUCCUUUGCCCACUUUUUGAUGGGUUUGUUUAUUUUUUUCUUGUAAAUUUAAGUUCUUUUCAGAUUCUGGAUAUUAGCCCUUUGUCAGAUGGGUAGAUUGCAAAAAUUUUCUCCCAUUCUGUAUCUAGCCUGUUCACUCUGAUGGUAGUUUCUUUUGCUGUGCAGAAGCUCUUUAGUUUAAUUAGAUCCCAUUUGUCUAUUUUGGCUUUUGUUGCCAUUGCUUUUGGUGUUUUACUCAUGAAGUCCUUGCCCAUGCCUGUGUCUUGAGUGGUAUUGCCUUUAUUUUCUUCUAGGGUUUUUAUGGUUUUAGGUCUAAAAUUUAAGUCUUUAAUCCAUCUUGAAUUAAUUUUUGUAUAAGGUGUAAGGAAGGGAUCCAGUUUCAGCUUUCUACAUAUGGCUAGCCAGUUUUCCCAGCACCAUUUAUUAAAUAGGGAAUCCUUUCCCCAUUUCUUGUUUUUCUCAGGUUUCUCAAAGAUCAGAUGGUUGUAGAUGUGUAGUGUUAUUUCUGAGGCCUCUGUUCUGUUCCAUUGGUCUAUCUCUCUGUUUUGGUACCAGUACCAGGCUGUUUUGGUUAUUGUAGCCUUGUAGUAUAGUUUGAAGUCAGGCAGCAUGAUGCCUCCAGCUUUAUUCUUCUUGCUUAGGAUUGUCUUGGCAAUGCAGCUCUUUUUUGGUUCCAUAUGGACUUUAAAUUAGUUUUUUCCAAUUCUGUGAAGAAAGUCAUUGGUAGCUUGAUGGGGACAGCAUUGAAUCUAUAAAUUACCUUGGGCAGCAUGGCCAUUUUCAUGAUAUUGAUUCUUCCUAUCCAUGAGCAUGGAACGUUCUUCCAUUUGUUUGUGUCCUACUUUAUUUCGUUGAGCAGUGGUUUGUAGUUCUCCUUGAAAAGGUUCUUCACAUCCCUUGUAAGUCAGAUUCCUAGGUAUGUUAUUCUCUUUGUAGCAGCUUUGAAUGGGAGUUUGUCUCUGUUUGUCUGUUAUUUGUGUAUAGGAAUGCUUGUGAUUUUUGCAUAUUGAUUUUGUAUCCUGGGACUUUGCUGAAGAUGCUUAUCAGCUUAAGGAGAUUUUGGGCUGAGAUGAUGGGGUUUUCUAAAUAUAAAAUCAUGUCAUCUGCAAACAGGGACAAUUUGACUUCCUCUUUUCCUAAUUGAGUACCCUUUAUUUCUUUCCCUUGCCUCAUUGCUCUGGUCAGAACUUCCAACACUAUAUUGAAUAGGAGUGGUGAGAGAGGACAUCCUUGUCUUGUGCCAGUUUUCAAAGGGAAUGCUUCCAGUUUUUGCCCAUUCACUAUGAUAUUGGCUGUGGGUUUGUCAUAAAUAACUCUUAUUAUUUUGAGAUAUGUUCCAUCAAUACCUAGUUUAUUGAGAGUUUUUAGCAUGAAAGGCUGUUGAAUUUUGUUGAAGGCCUUUUCUGCAUCUAUUGAGAUAAUCAUGUGGUUUUUGUCAUUGGUUCUGUUUAUGUGAUGGAUUACGUUUAUUGAUUUGCAUGUGUUGAACCAGCAUUGCAUGCUAGGGAUGAAGCCAACUUGAUCGUGGUGAAUAAGCUUUUUGAUGUGCCGCUGGAUUUGGUUUGCCAGUAUUUUAUUGAGGAUUUUUGCAUAUAUGUUCAUCAGGGACAUUGGUCUAAAAUUCUCUUUUUUUGUUGUGUCUCUGCCAGGCUUUGGUACCAGGAUGAUGCUGGCCUCAUAAGAUGAAUUAGGGAGGAUUCCCUGUUUUUCUAUUGUUUGGAAUAAUUUCAGAAGGAAUGGUACCAGAUCCUUUUUGUACCUCUGGUAGAAUUUGUCUGUGAAUCCAUCUGGUCAUGGACUUUUUUUGGUUGGUAGGCCACUGAUUAUUGCCUCAAUUUCAGAGCCUGUUAUUCGUCUAUUCAGAGAUUCAACUUCUUCCUGGGUUAGUCUUGGAAGGGUGUAUGUUUCCAGAAAUUUAUCCAUUUCUUCUAGAUUUUGUAGUUUAUUUUUGUAGAUGCAUUUAUGGUAUUCUCUGAAGGUAGUUUGUAUUUCUGUGGGAUCGGUGGUGAUAUCCCCUUUAUCAUUUCUUAUUGCGUCUAUUUGAUUCUUCUCUCUUUUCUUCUUUAUUAGUCUUGCCAGCAGUCUAUCAAUUUUGUUGAUAUUUUGAAAAAACCAUCUCCUGGAUUCAUUGAUUUUUUUAAGGGUUUUUUGUGUCUCUAUUUCCUUUAGUCUUGCUCUGAUCUCAGUUAUUUCUUGCCUUCUGCUAGCUUUUGAAUUUGUUUGCUCUUGCUUCUCUAGUUCUUUUAAUUGUGAUGUUCGGGAGUCGAUUUUAGAUCUUUCCUGCUUUCUCUUGUGGACAGUUAGUGCUAUAAAUUUCCCUCACACACUGCUCUAAGUGUGUCCCAGAGAUUCUGGAAUGCUGUGUCUUUGUUCUCAUUGGUUUCAGUGAACAUCUUUAUUUCUGACUUCAUUUCGUUAUUUACCCUGUAGUCAUCAGGAGCAGGUUGUUCGGUUUCCAUGUAGUUGUGCAGUUUUGAGUGAGUUUCUUAAUCCUGAGUUCUAAUUUGAUUGCACUGUGGUCUGAGAAACAGUUUGUUGUGAUUUCUGUUCUUUUACAUUUGCUGAGGAGUGCUUUACUUCCAUCUAUGCGGUCAGUUUUGGAAUAAGAGCGAUGUAGUGUUGAGAAGAAUAUAUAUUCUGUUGAUUUGUGUUGGAGAGUUCUGUUGAUGUCUAUUAGGUCCCCUUGGUGCAGAGCUGAGUUCAAGUCCUGGAUAUCCUUGUUAACCUUCUGUCUCAUUGAUCAGUCUGAUAUUGACAGUGGGGUGUUAAAGUCUCCCAUUGUUAUUGUGUGGGAGUCUAAGUAUCUUUGUAGGUCUCUAAGGACUGGCUUUAUGAAUCUGGGUGCUCCUGUUGGGUGCAUAUAUAUUUAGGAUAGUUAGCUCUUCUUGUUGAACUGAUCCCUUUACCAUUAGGUAAUGGCCUUCUUUGUCUCUUUUGAUCUUUUUUGGUUUAAAGUCUGUUUUAUCAAAGACUAGGAUUGUAAACACUGCAAUUUUUUCUUUUCUUUCCAUUUGCUUGGUAGAUCUUCCUCCCUGCCUUUAUUUUGAGCCUGUGUGUGUCUCUGCACAUGAAAUGAGUGUCCUGAAUACAGCACACUGAUGGGUCUUGAAUCUUUAUUUAAUUUGCCAGUCUGUGUCUUUUAAUUGGGCCAUUUAGCCCAUUUACAUUUAAGGUUAACAUUGUUAUGUGUGAAUUUGAUCCUGACAUUUUGAUGUUAGCUGGUUAUUUUGCCCAUUACUUGAUGCAGUUUCUUCCUAGCAUCCAUGGUCUUUACAAUUUGUUAUGUUUUUGCAGUGGCUCGUACCAGUUUUUCCUUUCCAUGUUUAGUGCUUCUUUCAGGAGCUCUUGUAAGGCAGGCCUGGUGGUGACAAAAUCUCUCAGCAUUUGCUUGUUUGUAAAGGAUUUUAUUUUUCCUUCACUUAUGAAGCUUAGUUUGGCUGGAUAUGAAAUUCUAGGUUGAAAAUUCUUUUCUUUAAGAAUGUUGAAUAUUGGCCCCUACUCUCUUCUGGCUUGUAGAGUUUCUGCAGAGAGAUCCACAUUAGUCUGGUGAACUUCCCUUUGUGGGUAACCUGCCCUUUCUCUCUGGCUGCUCUUAACAUCUUUUUCUUCCUUUCAACCUUGGUGAAUCUGACAAUUAAAGUGUCUUGGGGUUGCUCUUCUUGAGGAGUAUCAUUGGGUGUUCUCCGUAUUUCUUGAAUUUGAAUGUUGGCCUGCCUUGCUAGGUUGGGGAAAUUUUCCUGGAUAAUAUCCUGAAGAGUUUUCCAACUUGGUUCCAUUCUCCUUGUCACUUUCAGGUACACCAAUCAAAUGUAGAUUUGGUCUUCUCACAUAGUCCCAUAUUUCUUUGAGGAUUUUUGUUCAUUUAUUUUUACUCUUUUUUCUCUAAACUUCUGUUCUCACUUUAUUUCAUUAAUUUGAUCUUCAAUCACUGAUAUCCUUCCUUCCACUUGAUCGAAUUGGCUACUGAAGCUUGUGCGUGCAUCACAUAUUUCUCGUGCCAUGGUUUUUAGCUCCAUCAGGUCAUUUAAGCUAUUCUCUACACGGUUUAUCCUAGUUAGCCAUUUGUCUAAUCUUUUUUCAAGGUUUUUAGCUUCCUUGCAAUGGGUUUGAAUAUCCUCCUUUAGCUCAGAGAAGUUUGUUAUUACUAACCUUCUGAAGCCUACUUCUGUCAACUCAUCAAAGUCAUUCUCUGUCCCGCUUUGUUCCAUUGCUGGCAAGGAGCUGCAAUCCUUUGGAGGAAAAGAGGCACUCUGAUUUUUAGAAUUUUCAUGUUUUCUGCUCUGGUUUCUCCCCAUCUUUGUGGUUUUAUCUACCUUGGUCUUUGAUGUUGGUGACCUAGAGAUGGGGUUUUAGUGUGGAUGUCCUUUUUGUUAAUGUUGAUGCUCUUCCUUUCUGUUUGUUAGUUUUCCUUCUAACAGUCAGGUCCCUCAGCUGCAGGUCUGUUGGAGUUUGUUGGAGGUCCACUUCAGACCCUGUUUCCCUGGGUAUCAACAGCAGAGACUGCAGAACAGCAAAUACUGCAGGACAGAAAAUAUUGCUGUCUGAUCCUUCCUCUGGAAGCUUCAUCCCAGAGGGGCAUCUGCCUGUAUGAGGUGUCAGUCAGCUCCUAAUGGGAGGUUUCUCCCAGUUAGGCUACACAGGGUUCAGGGACCCACUUGAGGAGGCAGUCUGUCCAUUCUCAGAGCUCAAACGCUAUGCUGGGAGAACCACUGCUCUCUUCAGAGCUUUCAGACAGGGUCGUUUAAGACUGCAGAAUUUUCUGCUGCCUUUUGUUCAGCUAUGCCCUGCCCCAAGGUGGGGUCUAUGGAGGCAGCAGGCCUUGCAGAGCUGAGGUGGGCUCUGCCCAGUUCAAGCUUCCCCAGUCUCUUUGUUUACCUACUCAAGCCUCAGCAAUGGUGGACACCCCUCCCGCUGCCAGGCUGCUGCCUUGCAGGUAGAUCUCAGCCUGCUGUGUUAGCAGUGAGCAAGGCUCCAUGGGCAUGGGACCUGCUGAGCCAGGCAUGGGAUAUAAUCUGCUGGUAUGCCAUUUGCUAAGACUGUUGGAAAAGCACAGUAUUUGGGCAGGAGUGUCCCAAUUUUCCAGGUACAAUCUGUCAUGGCUUCCCUUGGCUAGGAAAGGGAAAUCCCCUGACCCCUUGCGCUUCCCGGGUGAGGCGAUGCCCCACCCGGCUUUGGCUCGCCCUCCGUGGGCUGCACCCACUGUCCAACCAGUUCCAAUGAGAUGAACCAGUUACCUCAGUUGGAAAUGCAGAAAUCACCAUCUUCUGCAUUGAUCACGCUGGGAGCUGCAGACCAGAGCUGUUCCUAUUUGGCCAUGUUGGAAUGGACCAUCCCUUGUCUUUUUGAUAUUUGUUGGUUUAAAGUCUGUUUUGUCAGAGACUACAAUUGCAGCCCCUAGUUUUUUUCUGCUUUCCAUUUGCUUGAUACAUUUUCCUUUAUCCUUUUAUUUUGAGUCUAAGUGUGUACUCUUGAAUACAGUACACCAAUAGGUCUUGACUCUAUCCAAUUUCCCAGGCUGUGUUUUUUAAAUGGGUCAUUUAGCCCUUUACAUUUAAGGCUAACAUUGUUAUUUGUAAAUUUGAUCCUGUCGUCAUGAUGCUAGCUGGUUAUUUUGCACACUAGUUGAUGCUAUUUCUUCACUGUGUCAUUGGUCUUUAUAAUUUCAUGUGUUUUGCAGUGGCUGGUACUGGUGUUCCAUUUCCACGUUUAGUGCUUCCUUUAGGAGCUCUGGUAAGGCAGGGCUGGUGGUGAUAAAUUCCUCCAGCACACAUAUGUCUGAAAAUGAUUUUAUUUAUCCUUUGAUUAUGAGGCUUAGUUUGGCCAGAUAUGAAAUUCUGGGUUGAAAAUUUUUUUCUUUAAGAAUGUUGAAUAUUGACCCCUACUCUCUUCUGGCUUGUAGGGUUUCUGCUGAGUAAUCCACCAUUAGUCUGAUGAGCUUCCCUUUGGAGGUGAUCUGACUUUUCUCUCUGGCUGCCCUUAACAUUUUUUCCUGCAUAUGGACCUUAUAGAAUCUGAUGAUUGUGUGUGUUGGGGUUGAUCUUCUUGUAGUAUAUCUUAAUGAUGUUCUCUGUAUCUCCUGAAUUUGCAUGUUGGCUUAGAGUAGCCAUGGUUAAAAAUCUAAUGAAAGUUUAUAGUUAACAAGGAUAUUUGGAUAUUUCAUUUACAUAUAGCAUUUUAAAUAAACACAAGAAUAAUGACGGAUAACAUAUUAGAUAUCUAUGAAUUUAUAUAAUUUUGAAUUUUUUUUUUUGAGAUGGAGUCUCGCUCUGUCGCCCACGCUGGAGUGCAGUGGCACUGUCUUGGCUCUCUGCAAGCUCCGCAUCCCAGGUUCACACCAUUCUCCUGCCUCAGCCUCCUGAGUAGCUGAGACUAAAGGCGCCCGCCACCAUGCCAAGCUAAUUUUUUGUAUUUUUAGUAGACAUGGGGUUUCACCAUAUUAGCUAGGAUGGUCUUGAUCUCCUGACCUUGUGAUCCACCUGCCUCAGCCUCCCAAAGUGCUGGGAUUACAGGCUUAAGCCACCAUGCCCAGCCUAAUUUUGAAAUAUUUAUAUUAACCCAUAAGUGCAAUGAAAGGAAGAUCUAGUGUUGGUCAAGUGCACAGGCUCAUGCCUGUAAUCCCAGUACUUUGGAAGGCCAAGACAUGUGGAUCACCUGAGGGUCAGGAGUUCAAGACCAGCCUGGCCAACAUGGUAAAAUCUCAUCUCUACUAAAAAUACAAAAAGUAGCUGGGUGUGAUUGUGGGUGCCUGUAAUCCCAGCUAACUUGGGAGGCUGAGGCAGAAGAAUCGCCUGAACCCCGGGGGAGAAGGUCGCAGUGAGCCGAUAUCCUACCACUCUACUCCAGCCUGAGUGACAGAUUGAGAAUCCAUCUAAAAAAAAAAAAAGAUCUGGUAUUACAUAUUUCUGUCUCAGUGCAGUUGUGUUGCUGUAAAGGCACAUCUGAUUCUGUGUAACUUACAAAGAGGUUCACGUAGCUCACAGUUCUAUGGGCUAUACAUGAAGCUUGGAAUUAACAUCAGCUUCUGGUGACAGCUUCAGGCUGCUUCCACUCAUGGAAAGGAAAGGGAAGGCAGCCUCUGAAGAGAUUAUAUGGCCAGAGAGGGAACUAGAGAAAUGGCAGGGGCAAGGGGAAAGAGAGGGAGAUGCCAGCCUCUUUUCAACCAUCAGCUCUUCAGGGAAAUGAUAGAUUAAAAACUGUCUCGCUGUCCUCUCCCAGGGAAGGCAUUAAUCUGUACACAAGGCAUCCACGUUCAUGACCCAAAGAUGAUCCAUUAGGCUGCAUCUCCAGCGUUGGGGAUAAUAUUUCAACAGGAGGUUUGGAGGGUCAAAUAUUCGAACAAUAGCCAUUUCUUAUGUGAUUUAUCAAAUAGGCCUAAUCAUCUAAUAUCUCCAAAAGGUUCAAGGGGUAUGUGGGCCAGCUGGUUACCUAGAGUUUUGCUCCUGUUGCCCAGGCUGGAGUGCAAUGGCGCAAUGUUGGCUCACCGCAAUGUCUGCCUCCUGGAUUCAAGUGAUUCUCCUGCCUCAGCCUCUCAAGUAGCUGGGAUUACAGGUUGAUUCUGCAUCUUGGAUAUUGUGAAUAAUGCUGCAAUGAACAUGAGACUGCAGAUCUUCAACAUGUCAAUUUCAUUAUCCUUUGGAGAUAUAUCUAGGAAGGAGAGAUGAUGUUUCAUCAUGUUUGCUAUGCUUGUCUUGAACUCUGGACCUCAAGUGGUCCAUCCGUCUCAGCCUCCUAUAGUGCUUGGAUUACAGCAAUGAGCCACUGCCCCGGCCCUGAAUUUCUGAAAUAAUGUUAAAGGUUUUGACUGGAUCAUCCUUAUUAUCCAGCAAUUUUAUGUCAAAUCUUGUGAGAUGGGUUGAAAACUAGGCCCUGCAAAGAUGUUAAUUUUCUACUCUUUGUCACUGCAAUAAUUUUUUUUAUUGCCAGUGGGUCUUUGCAGAUGUGAUGAACAACCUUGAGAUGAGAGAUCAUCCUGGAAUAUUCAGGUGGACCGUAGAUGCCACAGUAACUUUCCUUAUAAAGAAGAGACAUGGGAACUCACAUAAGACAAACACAUAGAGAACCUGAUGUGAAGAUAUAACCCAAGGCUGGAGUAUGCAGCCACAGCCAAGGAAUGGCAGCAAGCACAAAAUGCUAAAGAGAAAUGGAAUGGAUUCUCUCCUAGAGCCUCUGAAAGGAGCAUAGUCCUGCCAACACCUUUAUUUCCACCCUGGGAUACUGAUGUGUUAAUUUUUUAUCAUGUGGAACUGUGAGAAAAUACAUUUUAUGUUGUCUGCCACCAAGUUUGUGGUAACUUAUUACAGCAAACACAAGAAUGUAUACACCCUCCUAAGUAUUUUCCUGUGUGUAACUCCUUGUUUUUUUUCACAGAAGCACCAGGCACUGAUGAUCCAUACAUAAAUGAAUAGGUCCUGCAUGUUUCCCCACUCCUUUAUAGAAGAGUCCAACACCUAGAUUCUAAACAUAUGGAAUAGUGCCACGGUGAUCCAAGUACUAAAGGAUGAGAGGAGAGUUUUUGUUUUUUGUUUUUUGUUUUGUUUUGUUUUUGUUUUUGUUUUUGUCUUGAGACCAGGUCUUGAUCUGUUGCCCAGGCUGGAGUACAGUGGUGUGAUCUCGGCUCACUGCAACAUCUGCCUCCCAGGUUCAAUCAAUUCUCCAGCCUCAGCCUCCCAAGUAGCUGGGAUUAUAGGCAUGCACCACCAGGCCUGGCUACUUUUUGUAUUUUUAGUAGAGACGGGGUUUCACCAUCUUGGCCAGUCUGGUCUCAAACUCCUGACUUCAGAUGAUCUGCCUGCCUUGGCCUCCCAAAGUGCUGGGAUUACAGGUGUUAGCCACUGUGCCUGGUCAAGUUUUUGCUUUUAAGUCAACCUCAGGGAGUUUGGGAAACGCCACUAAAAGAUAAUCACUACUAUUUGAGCAGAGGAGGAAGCCAUAUUAUAUUCCAGGAGUGAUAACAAUCAGAUGGUUAUGGUUCCCUGUGAUUGAGAAUCACUUUGUGUCUCAAUAUAAAUUUGGAAGACCCAGAUUAUGUAAUUUCUUCAAGCUUCACAUUUUGUAAAUAAAAUAUCAAUGAACAUUUCACACUGUAUUUAUUGAUGGAACUUAAGCAAGGAAACAAAUUAUCAGAAGUAAGUUCUUCUGUUAUUUUAAUUGGCUCUUAGACAAACAAAAUCCCCAUCUGUGCUUGUUAUAACAAGUCCUACAAUAUACAGUUGCAUUUUAGAAAGUAAUAAAUUUAAUCUUAUCUCUUUCAGUUCAAAACCUUUAAGAGUAACCAAGUUUGUAUUCUACCACUUUGUGUUAACAAGGUGAAUAGGCAAAAUUUACUUAUGGUUUUGUCACAUGUUGUUAAUAUCAGAGGUCAGUGUUAUGCAUAGCACUCUACUGCUUCUUUUGCUUAUGGAUUUAUUAGGCACACCAGUAAAAGUUUACAGUCAUAAUCAUGUAAAAACUAAGAUUUAUAUAUGGUCUGUUUUUUAAAAGGUUUUUAUUGUUAUUUCUUUUUCUAGCUGUUUACUUUCCUGUAUAAUUUUGUAUUUGUAAUUUUUUUUGAUAUGGAGUGUUGCUCUGUUGCCCAGGCUAGAGUGCAGUGGCACAGGCUCAGCAAUCUUAAAAGAUUGCUGAAUAAGUGGUUAUGACUAUUUCACCUCUUUUAAAGGAGUAUUUUUACAUUUCAGAAGGUAGAUGUGGAGGAGGGGGGAGGGAUAGCAUUAGGAGAAAUACCUAAUGCUAAAUGAUGAGUUAAUGGGUGCAGCACACCAGCAUGGCACAUGUAUACGUAUGUAACUAACCUGCACAUUGUGCACAUGUACCCUAAAACUUAAAGUAUAAUAAUAAUAAAAAAAAGAAGGUAGAUGGAGCUUAAGACUGUGGUGACAUUCCAGGAGUUUUAAGCCUCAGAUGCCCCUUUUCUCCAUGGAGACAGUCCCCCAAAAGAAACUAUUUAGUUUGGAGAGUAUAAAGCUUUCUCUCCUUCUCAAAGGAGAUUAAAUGGACAGAGUGUAUGUGUACAUAAGUCAGUUUCAAAAUUUCUGGUUUCCUCAUCUACAGCACAGACCAUGGUUUGUGUAGAGUGAUAUGGAACUAGCUUUCAUCACUUCUCCUCAGAAAAGGAGAGAAUUGGGGUAAACGGGAUCUGGAACAGUUACUGCAGCAAGUUGGUGAUAGUUAAUACAUUCUCUUCUCCAGGAACCUGGGGUCUGCUUUCAGGAUAAUAUGAAUAAUGUAGAUAUUAAAAAUGUAUCACCCAUAUUCUGAUAUGUUUCAAUAUACUGAAAGAAUAUGUGUGUAUGAACCUCAGAGCUUGGUAAUGUAUGUGUACAUGACACUAAACCCACCAAAAACACAGGGAAAGGAAACGCACACACACACACACACACACACACACACACACGUAAUGCUGUCUAGCCGUGAAUACAGUUUACAUAAAUAUGUAAAAACAGAUUUCAUAUGUCUGUUUUUUAAAAGAUAUUUUACUGCUAUUUCUUUUUCCAACUGUUAACUUUCCCUGUAAUUUUGUAUUUGUAAUUGUUUUUGAGAUGGAGUCUUGCUCUGUUGCCCAGGCUGGAGUGCAGUGACACAAUCUCAGCUCACUGCAACCUCCACCUCCCAAGUUCAAGCGAUUCUCCUGACUCAGCCACCUGAGUAGCUGGGAUUAUAGGCACAUGCCAUCAUGCCUGGCUGAUUUUUAUACUUCUAGUAGAGAUGGUGUUUCGCCACGUUGGCCAGGCUGGUUUCGAACUUCUAGUCUCAUGUGAUCUGCCAUUGCCUCCCAAAGUGCUGGGAUUACAGGAAUGAGCCACUUCACCUGGCUUUGAAAUUCUUGUAUUUUCCCAAAUAGACCCUUUGCUUGAAAAGUCAUCUGUAUUUUAUUUAUGUUUUUUAUUUUUUUAUUUUAUUUUAAAAACAGGAUGUUCCUCUGUCACCCAGGCUGGAGUGCAAUGGCAGGUCCAUAGCUCACUGCAACUUCAAACUCCUGGGCUCAAGCAAUCCUCUUGCCUUAGUCUUUCAAAGCACUGGGAUUAUAGGUGUGAGCCAUCAUGCCGACCUAUCGCUUUACAUUUUCAUUUCAUGUUAAUUUUAUGCUAUCAAAUAACAUAAAAUGGCUCCACAGAUGAAACCACUUUUGAUCUUUCACUCUUUGUGGCUAAGACAAUGCAUAGGUUUUCCACGGCAGCCUUGUCAAUUAGGACUACCUCCUUUAUGAUCCUGGUUCUUGCUGUCAUCUUUCAGACUGAUAAGUUGCAAAUGGAACAACAGCAACAAUGGCAGCAGCAGCAGACACUUCUCCAGCCUUACAGUGCUAUAAGGAGGAAUGUGUUCUGUCAGGGGCUCUACAUUUAGUUUCUGGAAAGACCUAGACUGUGACUGCUAUUUUUGGAUUGCCAUAGUGAGACAACGGCCUUAGUGCCACUCUGACUUACCAUCAUUUUGGGUUUCCCAUCUCAGCACAUCAUUCAUAGGUUAUGUUGCAGAUUUCUUUUUCUUUUUUUUUUUUUUUUUGUUGAAACGAAGUCUUGCUCUUGUCGCCCAGGCAGGAGUGUAGUGGCGUGAUUUCGGUUCAUUGAAACAUCUACCUCCCGAGUUCAAGCGAUUCUCCUGCCUUAGUCUCCUGAGUAGCUGGGAUUACAUGUGCGUGCCACACGCCUGGCUAAUUUUUUUGUAUUUUUAGUAGAGACGGGGUUUCACAAUGUUGGUCAUGCUGGUCUCGAACUCCUGACCUCAUGAUCCACCCGCCAUGGACUCCCAAAGUGCUGGGAUUACAGGUGUGAGCCACCGCGCCCGGCCUGGUUGCAGAUUUCUUUCAGCUCUUGUCAUUGCAGUUGAAGAGAGACCAUACGACAUUCUAGAGAUGGCUGCAGGCAAGCAUCUAAAACCUUUGAGAGAACAACAGCACAUCAGGGAGAGUAUUAUCAUGACUAUUGGGAGGAUAAUACCAAGAAGUUGGAGUAUGCUCUUUACCUAAGGUCCCCACAAACCAGAAUGCUUAAGAUUAAAUAGAUCAAAGGAUAAGCUAGAUAAAGAGCCUACAUACUUAACUAAGCAGUCUCUUCAUUAAUCUUCUACCAGUGAAUUUCUCCAAUAGGCCAUGAGUACCAGCAGCUGGAGAGACACUUCUGUGUUCAGCCAAUUCCGUGUGAACUCCACAAGAGAAUUUAAAAUUUGUUGCAUCCUUUACAGUGGAAUUUGCUAUAGAGCCUAUAAUGAGCAUACAUUUGUAAUCAUUGCUUCUUCUAUUUUAAACCACGGAAGAAAAACCUAACAAAUGAUGCCCUUCUAGAAGAGUGAAGGCCUCCUGGUAAUGUUCUCUUUAACCCAUGAUGUGGGUUAAGAGGAAUGAACCAAUAUUUUGUUUCUGACUGAUUAUGAGGCAAUGUAUGUACCAUUAAAGUUUCUUACUGACAUUGGGCCUUUAUCUUGUAUCCACCAAAGUAUAAAGUUAUCCAUGUGUAAGGCUGGUUGUAAACACAUUCACAAAUAAAAGUACACCCCAUAAGUGCACAUAA